AGUUUGUUCCUGGUUCAGGAUAAAGCUGGGGGGCAUGCCUAAUACAUGCAAGUUGGAACGAGAGACCUUUGGGUCUCUAGUGGACGGAACGGGUGAGUAAAUACGUAGGGAACCUGCCCGCGCACCCGGGAAUACGGCUCUGGAAACGGAGAACAAAUCCCGAUGUACAGGAAGGAGGCAUCUUCUUUUUGUGAAACAUCCUUUAGGGGAUGGGGCGCGGAUGGACCUGCGGUGCAUUAGUUGGUUGGCGGGGUAAAGGCCCGCCAAGACGAUGAUGCAUAGCCGGCCUGAGAGGGCGGACGGCCACAUUGGGACUGAGACACGGCCCAGACUCCUGCGGGAGGCAGCAGUAGGGAAUUUUCGUCAAUGGGCGCAAGCCUGAACGAGCGAUGCCGCGUGAGUGAAGAAGGCCUUCGGGUCGUAAAGCUCUGUUGCGGGGGAAAAAAGGCAACACCAGGAAAUGGGUGCUGACUGAUGGUGCCCCGCCAGAAAGUCACGGCUAACUACGUGCCAGCAGCCGCGGUAAUACGUAGGUGGCGAGCGUUAUCCGGAAUGAUUGGGCGUAAAGGGUGCGCAGGCGGUCCUGCAAGUCUGGAGUGAAACGCAUGAGCUCAACUCAUGCAUGGCUUUGGAAACUGGAGGACUGGAGAGCAGGAGAGGGCGGUGGAACUCCAUGUGUAGCGGUAAAAUGCGUAGAUAUAUGGAAGAACACCAGUGGCGAAGGCGGCCGCCUGGCCUGUUGCUGACGCUGAGGCACGAAAGCGUGGGGAGCAAAUAGGAUUAGAUACCCUGGUAGUCCACGCUGUAAACGAUGAAUACUAGGUGUUGGGUGCCAAAGGCUCCCGGUGCCGUCGCAAACGCAGUAAGUAUUCCACCUGGGGAGUACGUUCGCAAGAAUGAAACUCAAAGGAAUUGACGGGGACCCGCACAAGCGGUGGAGCAUGUGGUUUAAUUCGAAGCAACGCGAAGAACCUUACCAAGUCUUGACAUCCCGGUGACGCAGGAGUAACAUUCUGUUCCCUACGGGGCACCGGAGACAGGUGGUGCAUAGUUGUCGUCAGCUCGUGUCGUGAGAUGUUGGGUUAAGUCCCGCAACGAGCGCAACCCUUAUCAUCAGUAGCAAACAGAGAAAGCUGUGCACUCUGAUGAGACUGCCAGGGAUAACCUGGAGGAAGGUGGGGAUGACGUCAAAUCAUCAUGCCCCUUAUGAUUUGGGCUACACACGUGCUACAAUGGCGUAAACAAAGGGAAGCGAAGGAGUGAUCCGGAGCAAAUCUCAGAAAUAACGUCUCAGUUCGGAUUGUAGUCUGCAACUCGACUACAUGAAGCUGGAAUCGCUAGUAAUCGCGGAUCAGAAUGCCGCGGUGAAUACGUUGCCGGGUCUUG
rnacentral:rRNA from 1 species